rnacentral:tRNA from 1 species
GUGUAUAGCUCAGUUGGUUAGAGCGUUCGGUUGUGAUCCGAGAGGUCGUGGGUUCGAACCCCACUACUCGCCCCA